rnacentral:rRNA from 1 species
UAGACAACCAGGAUGUUGGCUUAGAAGCAGCCACUCAUUAAAAGAGUGCGUAAUAGCUCACUGGUCGAGUGACUCUGCGCGGAAAAUAUAACGGGGCUAAGCAUGCAACCGAAGCUUGGGAUUGUCUAAAGACAGUGGUAGGGGAGCGUCGUGUACGGGGUGAAGUCGCAUCGGAAGGAGCGGUGGACUGUACACGAGUGAGAAUGCCGGAAUGAGUAGCGAGAAUUAUGUGAGAAUCAUAAUGGCCGAAAGCCUAAGGUUUUUGGAGGAAGGUUCGUCCGCUCCAAGUAAGCCGGGAGCUAAGGUCAGGCGGAAACGCGUAGCCGAUGCACAUACGGUUGAAAUUCCGUAGCCUCAGAAAGAUUUAAGCGAAGGGACACUUUGAAAGGACUGUAGCCGGGUGUUGGUUACCCCGGUCGUAAGGGAACGAAAUUAAGUAGUGAAGGCAGUCUGGACGGAGGCGAGAAAAGCUUCGUGUAUAUCUUAUGAGCCCGUACCGCAAACCGACACAGGUAGGUGGGAUGAGAAUUCUAAGACCAACGGGAGAAGGGUAGUUAAGGAACUCGGCAAAUUGUCCCCGUAACUUCGGAAUAAGGGGAGCCUGCGAAAGCAGGCCGCAGAGAAUUGGCCCAGGCGACUGUUUAUCAAAAACACAGCUCUAUGCUAAAUCGAAAGAUGACGUAUAUGGGGUGACACCUGCCCGGUGCUGGAAGGUUAAGAGGAGAUGUGAGAGCAUCGAAUUGAAGCCCCAGUAAACGGCGGCCGUAACUAUAACGGUCCUAAGGUAGCGAAAUUCCUUGUCAGGUAAGUUCUGACCCGCACGAAUGGUGUAACGAUCUGGGCACUGUCUCAACAACCCGCCCGGCGAAAUUGUAGUACCGGUGAAGAUGCCGGUUACCCGCGACUAGACGGAAAGACCCCAUGGAGCUUUACUGUAGCUUGAUACUGGAAUUCGGAGCAUUAUGUACAGGAUAGGUGGGAGACGGAGAAACACGGUCGUCAGGUCGUGGGGAGUCGCCCUUGGGAUACCACUCUUGAUGCUUCGGGUUUCUAACCUGCAGCCGUGAAUCCGGUUGGGGGACAAUGUCAGGUGGGCAGUUUGACUGGGGCGGUCGCCUCCAAAAGAGUAACGGAGGCGCUCAAAGGUUGGCUCAGCAUGGACGGAAACCAUGCUCUUGAGUGUAAACGCAAAAGCCAGCCUAACUGCGAGACUGACGGGUCGAGCAGUAACGAAAGUUGGAGUUAGUGAUC